rnacentral:misc_RNA from 1 species
GCAAACUUGGUCAUUUAGAGGAAGUAAAAGUCGUAACAAGGUUUCCGUAGGUGAACCUGCGGAAGGAUCAUUCAUAAUAUAAAGAGAUUUGUAAAAAAUCAAAUCCCUUAAAAUCCAUACAUCUUGUGUGAACUGUAAUAAAUGAAAAAGGGGAGGAGAGAAUGAUUAUCUCAAUCUUCCCUCUUUUUAUUUUAAAAAAACAAACGUCUUAAUUUUUUAAUAAUAUUUGACUAAAAUUAUGAAGUUAUUCUAAUUUCAAAAUAUAACUUUCAACAACGGAUCUCUUGGCUCUCGCAUCGAUGAAGAACGCAGC